GACGAACGCUGGCGGCGUGCCUAAUACAUGCAAGUAGAACGCUGAAGGCAGGAGCUUGCUCUAUCUGGGUGGGUUGCGAACGGGUGAGUAACGCGUAGGUAACCUGCCUGGUAGCGGGGGAUAACUGUUGGAAACGAUAGCUCAUACCGCAUAAAAUUGAUUAUUGCAUGAUAGUGGAUUAAAAGGUGCAACUGCACCACUACCAGAUGGACCUGCGUUGUAUUAGCUAGUUGGUGGGGUAACGGCUCACCAAGGCGACGAUACAUAGCCGACCUGAGAGGGUGAUAGGCCACACGGGGACGGGGACAGGGCCCAGACGCCUACGGGAGGGAGCAGUAGGGAACCGUCGGCAAUGGACGGAAGUAUGACAGAGCAACGGCGCGCGAGUGACGGAGGUUUUCGGAUCGUAAAGAUGGGUUGUAAGAGGAGAACGAGUGUGAGAGUGGAAAGUGCACACUGUGACGGUAGCUUAUCAGAAAGGGACGGCUAACUACGUG
rnacentral:rRNA from 1 species